rnacentral:rRNA from 1 species
AACGAACGCUGGCGGCAUGCCUAACACAUGCAAGUCGAACGAGAUCUUCGGGUCUAGUGGCGCACGGGUGCGUAACGCGUGGGAAUCUGCCCUUUGGUUCGGAAUAACAGUUGGAAACGACUGCUAAUACCGGAUGAUGACGAAAGUCCAAAGAUUUAUCGCCAGAGGAUGAGCCCGCGUAGGAUUAGCUAGUUGGUGUGGUAAAGGCGCACCAAGGCGACGAUCCUUAGCUGGUCUGAGAGGAUGAUCAGCCACACUGGGACUGAGACACGGACCAGACUCCUACGGGAGGCAGCAGGGGGGAAUAUUGGACAAUGGGCGAAAGCCUGAUCCAGCAAUGCCGCGUGAGUGAUGAAGGCCUUAGGGUUGUAAAGCUCUUUUACCCGGGAUGAUAAUGACAGUACCGGGAGAAUAAGCUCCGGCUAACUCCGUGCCAGCCGCCGCAGUAA